CAGUCGCCGCGGUAAAACGUAGGGUGCGAGCGUUAAUCGGAAUUACUGGGCGUAAAGCGUGCGCAGGCGGUUUUGUAAGACAGGCGUGAAAUCCCCGGGCUCAACCUGGGAAUGGCGCUUGUGACUGCAAAGCUAGAGUGCGGCAGAGGGGGAUGGAAUUCCGCGUGUAGCAGUGAAAUGCGUAGAUAUGCGGAGGAACACCGAUGGCGAAGGCAAUCCCCUGGGCCUGCACUGACGCUCAUGCACGAAAGCGUGGGGAGCAAACAGGAUUAGAUACCCCCGUAGUCCCUGUCUCUUAUAU
rnacentral:rRNA from 1 species